GGAAAAUGUAUAUUCACUUCUCUGUUCCCUGUACCACUCUGCGAAUUCACUGAAAGGAUUCUCCAAAAGGAGAAUUAGCGACAGAAUUAGGCGGACAAUGAGUAUCCAUUUAUGGGUACAUCUGCGAGCAUAUACUUGAUAUCAGUACUUACCAUGCAGGUCUAGCAUUUGACAAAUCAUGAAACACCCUUUUAGAUUUGUCUGUAUAUUUUACUGCAAGUUUAUGCAUUUGCUACUCGAAUUUGCACUGUUAAACUAGAGACUAUCAUUCUACACAAAUAUGUUCCUUGAGAAAAUAUCAAAUACACCCUUUAUAGAUCUGUCUACAUAUUUUACUGCAAGUUUAUGCAUUUGCUUCUUUAAAUUGCACUGUUAAACUAGAGUCUACCAUUCUACACAGAUAUAUUCUUUGAGAAAAUGUCAAUUUUGUAACGCACAUAUAAUUUUCAGAUCUAUCGGGAUGGUGGAACUGGAUGCAACCUUCUGCGCUAUGUUAAUCAGAACUCAAGAAACUAAGAUACCACAAUGCAAAGUACGACAGGGAAGUGCUCGAUGUCAUGUGUGUUAGCCGAGUGUCCGUCGACAUGGCGGGAGGGGUCGGUGUCGUGUCCACUGACCAAGUAGCAAAGAGUAGCUCCACCAUGAAGGAAACAAUAUUGCAUUACAUGAAAACAACCAUUAGCGAACCAGCGAGGUGGAGUUGCGCAAUGACCGACACGUUCACCUCUUCAUGCCAGGGGU